rnacentral:rRNA from 1 species
UACGAAGGGGGCUAGCGUUGCUCGGAAUUACUGGGCGUAAAGCGCACGUAGGCGGUCUUUUAAGUCGGGGGUGAAAUCCUGGAGCUCAACUCCAGAACUGCCUUCGAUACUGGAAGACUCGAGUCCGGGAGAGGUGAGUGGAACUGCGAGUGUAGAGGUGAAAUUCGUAGAUACUCGCAAGAACACCAGUGGCGAAGGCGGCUCACUGGCCCGGUACUGACGCUGAGGUGCGAAAGCGUGGGGAGCAAACAGG